rnacentral:rRNA from 1 species
UAGAGUUUGAUCAUGGCUCAGGACCAACGCUGGCGGUAUGCCUUAGACAUGCAAGUCGAACGAGUUUCCGGGCCUGCUCGGAAAUUAGUGGCGAACGGCUGAGUAACGCGUAGGUGACCUACCCCGUAGUGAGGAAUAACUGCCCGAAAGGGUAGCUAAUACCUCAUGUUGAGACGCUUUCAUUAGCGUCUCCAAAGCAGCAAUGCGCUAUGGGCGGGGCCUGCGUUCGAUUAGCUAGUUGGUGAGGUAAUGGCUCACCAAGGCGACGAUCGAUAGGUGGUCUGAGAGGACGAUCACCCAGACUGGGACUGAGACACGGCCCAGACUCCUACGGGAGGCAGCAGUCGGGAAUUUUGCGCAAUGGGGGAAACCCUGACGCAGCAAUACCGCGUGUGGGAUGAAGGCCUUCGGGUCGUAAACCACUUUUCUCGGGGACGAUAAUGACGGUACCCGAGGAAUAAGCCACGGCUAACUACGUGCCAGCAGCCGCGGUAAUACGUAGGUGGCAAGCGUUGUCCGGAUUUACUGGGCGUAAAGCGCGCGCAGGCGGUGAAUGAAGUCGAAAGUGAAAGCCCCGGGCUCAACUCGGGAACAGCUUUCGAAACCAGUUCACUUGAAGGUGGAAGAGGGAAGUGGAAUUCCGAGUGUAGCGGUGGAAUGCGCAGAUAUUCGGAGGAACACCAGAGGCGAAGGCGACUUCCUGGUCCAAUCUUGACGCUGAGGCGCGAAAGCUAGGGGAGCAAACAGGAUUAGAUAUCCUGGUAGUCCUAGCUGUAAACGAUGGAUACUAGUGUUG